GAUGAACGCUGGCGGCGUGCUUAACACAUGCAAGUCGAACGAGAAAUGGAGACGGACACCUUCGGGCGGAAGGCUUCAUUUCGAGUGGCGGACGGGUGAGUAACGCGUGGGUAACCUGCCUCAUACAGGGGGAUAACAGUUGGAAACGACUGUUAAUACCGCAUAAGACCACAGCACCGCAUGGUGCGGGGGUAAAAACUCCGGUGGUAUGAGAUGGACCCGCGUUCGAUUAGCCAGUUGGCGGGGUAACGGCCCACCAAAGCGACGAUCGAUAGCCGAUCUGAGAGGAUGACCGGCCACAUUGGGACUGAGACACGGCCCAAACUCCUACGGGAGGCAGCAGUGGGGAAUAUUGCACAAUGGGGGAAACCCUGAUGCAGCGACGCCGCGUGAGUGAAGAAGUACUUCGGUAUGUAAAGCUCUAUCAGCAGGGAAGAAAAUGACGGUACCUGAGUAAGAAGCCCCGGCUAACUACGU
rnacentral:rRNA from 1 species